UAGGGGAAUCUUCCACAAUGGGCGAAAGCCUGAUGGAGCAACGCCGCGUGUGUGAUGGAAGGGUUUCGGCUCGUAAAACACUGUUGUAAGAGAAGAAUGACAUUGAGAGUAACUGUUCAAUGUGUGACGGUAUCUUACCAGAAAGGAACGGCUAAAUACGUGCCAG
rnacentral:rRNA from 1 species